CCUACGGGAGGCAGCAGUGGGGAAUUUUGGACAAUGGGCGCAAGCCUGAUCCAGCCAUGCCGCGUGCAGGAUGAAGGCCUUCGGGUUGUAAACUGCUUUUGUACGGAACGAAAAGACUCUGGUUAAUACCUGGGGUCCAUGACGGUACCGUAAGAAUAAGCACCGGCUAACUACGUGCCAGCAGCCGCGGUAAU
rnacentral:rRNA from 1 species